rnacentral:rRNA from 1 species
UACGUAGGUGGCAAGCGUUGUCCGGAUUUACUGGGCGUAAAGAGCGCGCAGGCGGUCGUUCAAGUCGCGUGUGAAAGCCCCCGGCUCAACUGGGGAGGGUCACGCGAUACUGAUCGACUCGAAGGCAGGAGAGGGUAGUGGAAUUCCCGGUGUAGUGGUGAAAUGCGCAGAUAUCAGGAGGAACACCGGUGGCGAAGGCGGGUCUCUGGGCCUUACCUGACGCUGGAGGAGCGAAAGCGUGGGUAGCAAACCGG